AUGUUGCAAAAAAAGCAUUUAUCUGGUUGUGCGAAAAGAAAAAAGAAGAAACUUGUAGAUGAAUUCAUUGGAACUCAAAAGGGUGCUAUUCAUAAUUUCGUUUUUAAAAAAUCCACUGCCGAGAAUCCAGAGGUAUUAGCUGUUCAUAGUGUUGAAGAAGAACAAUCUGAUGAAAACUUAGUCGAGGAAAAUGUUGACAUUGACGAUUCUACAAAUUUGCGUGGCCAUGAAAAUGUUUUUGAUACUGAAAAUCCUAAAGAAGAUGAACACAAAUCUUCUAGUUUAGAUAUUUAUGACCCUAGAACUUGGGAAAUUCUUGACAAUAAAUCAAGAGACAUUCUAAUAGAGAAAGGGCCUACAAGGGAUUUAAAUCUUGUGUAUCAUCCAGAUGAUAACGGUAGGCAUUUUUCAAAUGCCUACUACUCAAGAAAUCUAAGUAAUGGGGAGGUUAGUGAUAGGAAAUGGUUGGUGUACUCUAAGGAUGCGAAUAAAGUUUACUGUUUUUGCUGCAAAUUGUUCAAAUCGGAAGGUAACAAAAGUCUGUUAGCAUAUGAGGGACUAAGUGAUUGGCAACAUCUUAGCCAGAGGCUCAAACUUCAUGAGAAUAGUAUUGAGCAUAUCACUAACAUGAAUACUUGGAAUGAGGUAAGGCUGAGACUAAAUAAAAAUCAAACAAUUGACAAAAAUUUGCAGCAAGAAAUUGCAAAAGAAAAAGAGCGAUGGAGACAAGUUUUAAUAAGAAUUGUUGCUGCUGUGAAGUUUCUUGCUAAACAUAAUUUGGCUUUUCGAGGAUCGAAUGAGAAACUUUAUCAAGAUAACAAUGGUAACUUUUUGGGAAUAAUAGAAAUGAUGGCAGAAUUUGAUCCUAUAAUGCAGGACCAUAUUAGGCGUAUUCAAAAUAGUGAAAUUCAUCAUCACUAUCUUGGCCAUAAGAUUCAAAAUGAGCUGAUUGAUAUUCUUGCACAAGGUGUUAAAAACACUAUCAUAAGGAUAAUUAAGGAUGCCAAAUAUUUCUCUGUAAUUCUAGACUGUACCCCUGAUGUAAGCCAUCAAGAACAAAUGACUCUUAAACGGAAUUAG
rnacentral:rRNA from 1 species